AGUGAACGCUGGCGGUAGGCCUAACACAUGCAAGUCGAACGGCGGCACAGUAAGAGCUUGCUCUUACGGGUGGCGAGUGGCGGACGGGUGAGGAAUACAUCGGAAUCUACUUUUUCGUGGGGGAUAACGUAGGGAAACUUACGCUAAUACCGCAUACGACCUACGGGUGAAAGCAGGGGAUCUUCGGACCUUGCGCGAUUGAAUGAGCCGAUGUCGGAUUAGCUAGUUGGCGGGGUAAAGGCCCACCAAGGCGACGAUCCGUAGCUGGUCUGAGAAGAUGAUCAGCCACACUGGAACUGAGACACGGUCCAGACUCCUACGGGAGGCAGCAGUGGGGAAUAUUGGACAAUGGGCGCAAGCCUGAUCCAGCCAUACCGCGUGGGUGAAGAAGGCCUUCGGGUUGUAAAGCCCUUUUGUUGGGAAAGAAAAGCAGCAGGUUAAUACCCCGCUGUUCUGACGGUACCCAAAGAAUAAGCACCGGCUAACUUCGUG
rnacentral:rRNA from 1 species